GACGAACGCUGGCGGCGUGCUUAACACAUGCAAGUCGAACGGAAAGGCUCCAGCUUGCUGGAGUACUCGAGUGGCGAACGGGUGAGUAACACGUGGGUAAUCUGCCCUGCACUCUGGGAUAAGCCUGGGAAACUGGGUCUAAUACUGGAUAUGACCUUUCUCCUUAUGGGGUUUGGUGGAAAGUUUUUCGGUGUAGGAUGGGCGCGCGGCCUAUCAGCUUGUUGGUGAGGUUAUGGCCUACCAAGGCGACGACGGGUAGCCGGCCUGAGAGGGUGAACGGCCACAAUGGGACUGAGGUACGCACCAGACGGCAACGGGAGGCAGCAGGGGGGAAUAUUACGGAAUGAGCGGAAGCCUGAUAUGGCGGCCCUGCGAGAGGAAUACCGGCCUACGGGUGAUGAACCAAUUUCUACGGAAACAAGGCGUAAGUGACGGUACCUGAUGAGAAAGCACCGGCUAACUAUGUG
rnacentral:rRNA from 1 species